UAAUUGAAGAGUUUGAUCAUGGCUCAGAUUGAACGCUGGCGGCAGGCCUAACACAUGCAAGUCGAGCGGUAACAGGAGAAAGCUUGCUUUCUUGCUGACGAGCGGCGGACGGGUGAGUAAU
rnacentral:rRNA from 1 species